rnacentral:lncRNA from 14 species
CUUCCCACCGCAUGGAAACCGCCCGGAAAGGUGGAUUCCACCUCGCUCAGAGCACACAAAGCUCCUGGGAUAACGGCCAAGAGCCUGGGACCAUCGGCACGGGGUCAUCAUCACCCCGUGUAUAGGGACACGGUCCCACCGGCCGGAGCCUCCAUGGCCCAGUCGUCUCCGCUGCCGAAUUCCCAAACUUCCUGACAGCAGCCCCGGCCCUGCCUCCGCUUCCGACGCCACCAGCGCCGGCCCCACGGCACCGUGGCCUCCGGCCAGGAUGGUGCUGCAGGCUGCGGUGCUGGCGCUGCACCUCUGCCUCCUGUCCGCGCUCCGGCCCAGCGACCCCAACGUCUGCAGCUACUGGGAGAGGUAGGACUGGGGGCACUGGGGGUGCUGGGGGGUGCCGGUGAUGGCCCCCCUGGGACCUGCCCUCACCAUCCAUGCCCCCCAUCGGCAGCUUCACGGUGGCGGUGAAGGAGUCCUACACCAAACCCCACAU